rnacentral:rRNA from 1 species
UCCGGUUGAUCCUGCCGGACCCGACCGGUAUCGGGGUGGGGCUAAGCCAUGCAAGUCGUACGUCCUCCAGCCACGUGGGGGACGUGGCGCACGGCUCAGUAGUACGCAGCUAACCUACCCUAAGGAAGGGGAUAAUCCCGGGAAACUGGGGCUAAUCCCCCAUAGACCUGGGGCACUGGAAGGUCCCUAGGUCGAAACGGGUGGACUGGCAUGCCGGUUCACCUGCCUUAGGAUGGGGCUGCGUCCGAUCAGGUAGUUGGUGGGGUAAUGGCCCACCAAGCCUAUGACCGGUGCGGGCUCUGAGAGGAGGAGCCCGGAGAUGGACCCUGAGACAAGGGUCCAGGCCCUACGGGGCGCAGCAGGCGCGAAACUUCGCAAUGCCCGAAAGGGUGACGAGGCUACCCCGAGUGUCGUCCGCUAAGGACGGCUUUUGUCGGGUCUAAAAAGCCCGACGAAUAAGGGGAGGGCAAGUCUGGUGUCAGCCGCCGCGGUAAUACCAGCUCCCCGACUGGUCGGGACGAUUAUUGGGUCUAAAGCGUCCGUAGCCGGCCCUGUAUGUGAUCCGUUAAAUCCAGCGGCUCAACCGCUGGGCUGCGGAUCAUACUAUGGGGCUAGGGGACGGGAGAGGCCGGGGGUACUCCGCGGGUAGGGGUAAAAUCCGCUGAUCCGCGGAAGACCAACAGUGGCGAAGGCGUCCGGCCAGAACGCGCCCGACGGUGAGGGACGAAAGCCAGGGGAGCGAACCGGAUUAGAUACCCGGGUAGUCCUGGCCGUAAACGAUGCCCGCUAGGUCUUGGUGAAGCUUAGGGUUUCACCAGGGCCGCAGGGAAGCCGUUAAGCGGGCCACCUGGGGAGUACGGCCGCAAGGCUGAAACUUAAAGGAAUUGGCGGGGGAGCACCACAAGGGGUGAAGCCUGCGGUUUAAUUGGAGUCAACGCCGGG